rnacentral:rRNA from 1 species
UAGAGAGUUUGAUCCUGGCUCAGAUUGAACGCUGCGGCAUGCUUUACACAUGCAAGUCGAACGGCAGCGAAGAGAAGCUUGCUUCUCUGUCGGCGAGUGGCGAACGGGUGAGUAUAGCAUCGGAACGUGCCAAGUAUGGGGGAUAACCAAGCGAAAGUUUGGCUAAUACCGCAUAAGCUCUAAGGAGGAAAGUAGGGGACCGCAAGGCCUUACGCUAUUUGAUCGGCCGAUGUCGGAUUAGCUAGUUGGUGAGGUAAUGGCUCACCAAGGCGAUGAUCCGUAGCGGGUCUGAGAGGACGAUCCGCCACACUGGGACUGAGACACGGCCCAGACUCCUACGGGAGGCAGCAGUGGGGAAUUUUGGACAAUGGGGGGAACCCUGAUCCAGCCAUGCCGCGUGUAUGAAGAAGGCCUUAGGGUUGUAAAGUACUUUUGUUAGGGAAGAAAAGCUAGUUUUUUAAUAAAGACUAGUGAUGACGGUACCUAAAGAAUAAGCACCGGCUAACUACGU